rnacentral:rRNA from 1 species
ACAUCCAGAGAAUUAGCAGAGAUGCUUUGGUGCCUUCGGGAACUCUGAGACAGGUGCUGCAUGGCUGUCGUCAGCUCGUGUUGUGAAAUGUUGGGUUAAGUCCGCAACGAGCGCAACCCUUAUCCUUUGUUGCCAGCGGUUCGGCCGGGAACUCAAAGGAGACUGCCGGUGAUAAACCGGAGGAAGGUGGGGAUGACGUCAAGUCAUCAUGGCCCUUACGGCCAGGGCUACACACGUGCUACAAUGGCGCAUACAAAGAGAAGCGACCUCGCGAGAGCAAGCGGACCUCAUAAAGUGCGUCGUAGUCCGGAUUGGAGUCUGCAACUCGACUCCAUGAAGUCGGAAUCGCUAGUAAUCGUAGAUCAGAAUGCUACGGUGAAUACGUUCCCGGGCCUUGUACACACCGCCCGUCACACCAUGGGAGUGGGUUGCAAAAGAAGUAGGUAGCUUAACCUUCGGGAGGGCGCUUACCACUUUGUGAUUCAUGACUGGGGUGAAGUCGUAACAAGGUAGGCGUAGACGU